GACGAACGCUGGCGGCGUGCUUAACACAUGCAAGUCGAACGAUGAAGCCCUUCGGGGUGGAUUAGUGGCGAACGGGUGAGUAACACGUGGGCAAUCUGCCCUGCACUCUGGGACAAGCCCUGGAAACGGGGUCUAAUACCGGAUAUGACUACCGACCGCAUGGUCUGGUGGUGGAAAGCUCCGGCGGUGCAGGAUGAGCCCGCGGCCUAUCAGCUUGUUGGUGGGGUGAUGGCCUACCAAGGCGACGACGGGUAGCCGGCCUGAGAGGGCGACCGGCCACACUGGGACUGAGACACGGCCCAGACUCCUACGGGAGGCAGCAGUGGGGAAUAUUGCACAAUGGGCGAAAGCCUGAUGCAGCGACGCCGCGUGAGGGAUGACGGCCUUCGGGUUGUAAACCUCUUUCAGCAGGGAAGAAGCGAGAGUGACGGUACCUGCAGAAGAAGCGCCGGCUAACUACGUGCCAGCCGCCGCCGUAAUAC
rnacentral:rRNA from 1 species